UCACAUGCACCUUUAUGAUGAAGUUAUGCCUUUGUUAAGCCUACCAGCGCACUUGUCGCAGCGCCAACAGCAAAAAAGAUUUUCGCACGAUCCAAUUUUCCUGGUUAUGCGCACGAGCCGCGAACCAGAGCUUUGCCGCGCCACUCUCUUAUAACUCCUGUAAAGUUGGCGUUUUCCGCCUCCAGCCAACACCAAAUCAUAUUCGAUAGCCAAAAGCAGUGAAUGACUUAGGACAGUCCACCACUGCGUUCCAAAAUGACGGUACGCGCCACUGGGCAUCAAGACGCUGUUUAGCGUAGUCGCCGUAAGCUAGGUAGCAACUGUUCUGUGUUUACCAGGAAAAGCAACAUAGUGCAACGAAGGAGAGUCAUGCAUUCUCAAACGCCAAAAUUAUCCUUUUUAUGGAAUAUUCUCGACAUUCGGCUUUUUAUUUUCUCUUUCAGCGUCCAGCAGAGGCACAUCGCAAGCUGCCUGCCCUAUUCUUCAGGAGCUGCGUUCCUCUCCACCCUCCUCUCCACUGCUCCUGUCCUCCUUCCCGGUGCCCUCCUCUCCUCCGCCCACGGCCUUGUGCGAGGCCUCGUCCACCUUGCCCGCCAUCUCCUGGAUGCGACCACCGCCCAAAUGGCCGCCAACCUGCAGCACGAGGAUCGACAGGAGGACGGAAAGCUGGGAGGGAGGAGACAGGCAACAGGCGGGGUUGUGGCAUGACGGUGCGGGAGCCUGACGUGGCAACGAACACCUGCUGCCGUACUACCAUGAUGUAAUGGUGAGACUUGCAAUUGGUGGAGUUCAGAAAUUUUGUGUCAGUAGAAAACGCCCCAAGGCAUGGAAAAUUGUCGUCACCAAAUUGUUCCUCACGAAUGUGCGGUACACCGAACACUCGGUCAAAUCGAUUUAUAGCUGCAGCCCUUUUUUAAAGAGCCGUGCGGGCCGUUGCGGGCAGAGACGCGCGCGGACGGUCCCUGGAGGGCCAUCAAAUCUGUACCACAACUCUGCAGUAACUUGUCGCGGUCUUCACCAAAAACGCAUGACACCAAAUAAUUUUCAAAUAUACCAUUUUCAAGCCCUUGCUAAAAAGCUGUCGCAAAUGUAUCGUGGCAAUACUGUACCCACACCUACUAUGCACGCCUACUAUGCACGCCAUCUAUCCACAUCUAUCCACAUCUAUCCACAUCUAUCCUAUCCACAUCUAUCCUAUCCACAUCUAUCCUAUCCACAUCUAUCCACAUCUAUCCACACCUAUCCACACCUAUCCACACCUAUCCACACCUAUCCACACCUAUCCACACCUAUCCACACCUUUAUCUAUAGUUCCUUACCCUGACACGCUGUAGCAUCGUAACGCGCGGCGGCAGGUGACGACCACCCGUCCAUGCGCACCCGUUUCGUUUGCCCCGGAGCAGGCAUUCAUAAGAGGUGGAUCCAUACAUGAUGCGGUACAGGGACGGUACGGGACAGACUCAACUAUGGUCUUAACGCGAAGGUAUUCUCCAGGCAGGGAAUUCCGAAACGGCAAUUGAAGCUGGAGUUAAAAAGCAAAUCAUUAACGAUCAUCGCAAAAAUGUAGUAGCUGGUACAUAGGACGGCACACACAUCAACUCCAGAUAAGCAUGAAGCGUUCGAUCAGCAUCUCGCGAGGGGCCUUUUCACAAUUAGUAUCGAGAUCCCAAAAAUUACGAGAUCAGACAGCCAUUGUUUUGUUUAAUAGUUAGUGGCCAGUUUCAUUUCACAGUUUCUGCUGUAGCUUCCAUGCAGUACUGGACCUUUACCUAACAACUGAAAUGUAUAACCGCCAACCGCCAGUCAAGACCCAUGGCCAACCUCCCAUCUCACCUCCAUAGAGUCGCACUCAUCAAAGUUUUUACCAAACAGCUUCUAUGGUGAUGCACGUGGUGUACAAGUGCGAGCGAGCGAUUGGGUGCAGGAAGGGGAGGACGAGCGUGAGAUAGUUUGCACAGGCGCAUUGGCACCGACCCACGGGUCAAAGGCCACGUUAUGCCAAAGUCAAAUUUGGACCCCAAAUUUGGACCCUCAAAAGCCCCCAAACCCAAACCACAAAUAGCAGUCACAGUUAUUUUUUUAGGACUAACAGAUUUAUGCGCAUUCGAAAAUUGAGCUUUUGCUAUGAGCUGGUUAUGAGCUGGUUAUGAGCUGCACUUGCCUGGGCCAUCUCGUUUCGCUCCUCGGGGGUGGUAGGCAUGUUGUUGGAUGUGCGGAGGGCGCGGACAAAGAGUAAGGAAGAGGGGAGGCGGUGCUGCAAUGGAAUGCGACGGAGGUCAAGGAAGGCUGGAACUUUGCAAAA
rnacentral:lncRNA from 1 species